UACGUAGGGGGGCUAGCGUUGUCCGGAAUCAUUGGGCGUAAAGCGCGUGUAGGCGGUCCGGUAAGUCCGCUGUGAAAGUCGGGGGCUCAACCCUCGAAUGCCGGUGGAUACUGUCGGGCUAGAAUGCGGAAGAGGCGAGUGGAAUUCCUGGUGUAGCGGUGAAAAUGCGCAGAUAUCAGGAGGAACACCAAUUGCGAAGGCAGCUCGCUGGGACGUUACUGACGCUGAGACGCGAAAAGCGUGGGGGAGCAAACAGG
rnacentral:rRNA from 1 species